GAGUUUGAUCAUGGCUCAGAUUGAACGCUGGCGGCAGGCCUAACACAUGCAAGUCGAGCGGCAGCACGGGGAGCUUGCUCCCUGGUGGCGAGCGGCGGACGGGUGAGUAAUGCAUGGGAAUCUGCCCGGUAGUGGGGGAUAACCCGGGGAAACCCGGGCUAAUACCGCAUACGUCCUACGGGAGAAAGCAGGGGAUCUUCGGACCUUGCGCUAUCGGAUGAGCCCAUGUCGGAUUAGCUUGCUGGUGAGGUAACGGCUCACCAGGGCGACGAUCCGUAGCUGGUCUGAGAGGAUGAUCAGCCACACCGGGACUGAGACACGGCCCGGACUCCUACGGGAGGCAGCAGUGGGGAAUAUUGGACAAUGGGGGAAACCCUGAUCCAGCCAUGCCGCGUGUGUGAAGAAGGCUUUCGGGUUGUAAAGCACUUUCAGCGGGGAAGAAGGCAUGGCGGCUAAUACCCGCCAUGAAGGACAUCACCCGCAGAAGAAGCACCGGCUAACUCCGUGCCAGCAGCCGCGGUAAUACGGAGGGUGCAAGCGUUAAUCGGAAUUACUGGGCGUAAAGGGCGCGUAGGCGGCCUGCCAAGCCGGAUGUGAAAGCCCCGGGCUCAACCCGGGAACGGCAUUCGGAACUGGCAGGCUAGAGUGCAGGAGAGGAAGGUGGAAUUCCCGGUGUAGCGGUGAAAUGCGUAGAGAUCGGGAGGAAUACCAGUGGCGAAGGCGGCCUUCUGGACUGACACUGACGCUGAGGCGCGAAAGCGUGGGUAGCAAACAGGAUUAGAUACCCUGGUAGUCCACGCCGUANACGAUGUCGACCAGCCGUUGGACCCCCCUGAGGGUCUGGGUGGCGCAGUUAACGCAAUAAGUCGACCGCCUGGGGGAGUACGGCCCGCAGGCUAAAACU
rnacentral:rRNA from 1 species